rnacentral:lncRNA from 1 species
UCCAAGUAAGUAUGAUUCUCAAUUUAGUUCAGGUAGAAAACACGGUAAAAACAUAUCUCGGGACGGACCAAGUCAUAAUCCCCAACGGUACUCUACCCCACGCCCGUUAUCCGGCGUGCAAGUAACCUCAAUAUAGCGUUACGAUGUGAAAUUUUGGGGUUUCAAACCCUCAGGACAUCAUUUACAUCAAUUACUCACCUCAAGACGGUCAAAGUCUAGCUCGUUAUGCCCUUGCCUCUCAAAUUACCCUCCUCGUGCGACUAAUCUGCCCAAAAUCACAACAAAUAUGUCGCAUUAUGCUAAAGAGACAAUACCCAAUUGAAAGCAAUCGAAAAAUAUCAAAAUUCACGAAUUUGACAAAACCCGAGCCCCGGUUCCACGUCUCGAAAAAUCAGAAAAUUAACAUCACCGGAUUCCUUGUCUCGCCACGAGUCUAUACAUCCCAAGAACUCCCAAAUCCGAGUUCAAAUGACCCAUCAAAUCCUAAUUGUUUGGUUUCAAAAUUCAAGCCCUAGUUCUUGAUUUGUAGGCUUAUAUUUCAUGAAUCUCUAGGUGGAAUUCACAAUAAAAACGAGUUCUAAGUCCAAGAAACUUACCUCAAGUCGUUCCCCCUUGAGUCCCUCUUUAAUCUCCACCAAGAAGCUCUCAAAAUGAUCAACCAUGGAGGAAAAAUGACCCAAAAUCGCGGAUGAAGUGUUUUAUAAACUCACUGCCCAGGAUUUUUCGGAAGUACUGUUCACCCGCGCAGUUACUGUUCAUGCUGCUAAAAAAAAUACAGCAACAGCCAAAGAAAUUGCAGCACUUUUCUUUUUACUAAAAUGGCUCUAACUCCAUCAUACGAACUCGGAAUUUGAUGAUUAUUGUUCCUAUGAGUCACAAAUAAUGAUACAAACAUAGUCCUUCAAUCGAAACUCAAUUUGGAGCUCGUUUGCUCAGUGCGAUAUCCAUUUCGCUCGUUAAACAAUUAACUCAUGUUUCGUGUCAAAAACCCAAUCGCAACUUGAUGAAAUUAGACCAAACUUUCCAGAUCACUCCUAUAAUUCAUUAUUUAAAUUCUGGAAAUCUCAAAAUAAAAUUUUGAUCUCUAGAACUAAAAAUGGACUUUUGGAUCAUUACAGCUUAUGCUCAAACGACAAAAAUCUUCCAAAAACUCUUCCAAAACUUAUCCGAGCCUCAUGGGACCCCGACCAAACAUGCCAAAAUAAUUCAUAACAUUAUUAAAACCUCUUCCAAUCAUUAAAAUACCUCAAACAAUAUCAAAUUACCCAAAACUCAUCGAAUUCAAGCCUAAUUUUCUAAAAACUUCCGAAAUACACUUUCGAUCAAAAACCCGACCAAACUACGUCCGAAUGACCUGAAAUUUCGUACACAUAUCCCAAAUCACCUAACGAAGCUACAACAACUCUCGGAAUUCCAUUCCGACUCUCGAAUCAAAAUCUCACCUAUCAACCGGAAUUCGCCAAAAUACUAACUUCGCCAAUUCAAGCCUAAUUCUAUACCGGACCUCCAAAAUUACUUCUGAUUACACUCCUAAGUCACAAAUCAUCCCCGAAGCUAACCGAAUCAUCCGGAUUCAAAUCCGAGCCCUCUAACACAUAAGUCAAUGUCCGGUUGACUUUUCCAAAACAAACCUUCCUUAAAGAGACUAAGUGUCUCAUUUCCUACUAAAACCAAUCCAAAUCAACUCGUUCACACCCAACACUGAUAAUGAAGCAUAAAGAAAUAGAAAAUGGGAAAAACGGGGCGGUAACUCAUGAGGCGACGGGUCGGGUCAUCACAAUUUGGUUCUUCGCAGAUACUUAAAAUGCAAAAAUGCAAUCAAGACUGGAGCACAUAAUAACGGCUUAUAGAACUUGAAAAGAAAAAUCUAAAAGAACAUUACGUGGAACCAUCACAUUGUCACUCUUACUCCAAGAAAAGCAGAAGAGGUUUAGCACUUGAAGCCACAACUUAUGCCCAUGUUGGUCAAACUAACAAUUUUCUUUUCAAAGGUAUCCAACUGAAUGAAUGAACUCUGGUAUCCAAAGAUAAAAAAAAACCAAGAUUUUUCUAAGAUGACCUAUAUCAUCUUCCAAGCAGUAGCUAUGAUAUAAUUUAGCCCCACGAAAAUGAGAACAAAACCAUGAUACUCCUUCGAACAACAGAGAUAAAACUAAAUCACAAAUACUUAAAAGAUAGAGAAGACAAAAAUAUGCAUAACAAAUUUAAUAGAAAUGGUAAUUCAUUGAAGAAUUUAUUCAAACACCUAGAGAAGAGAAGACAUUGGUAGUAAUUUUAUACCUUUAAAAGCCACCACUAACUAUUGGCACGUCUAAUUGCCAAAAUAAAAGCUAAGUAAACUAAUACUGAAAAAUAACUUGGAAAGCUCUGCUAAAAGGGGAAAAUGGCAUAUCAAAAGAUACAAUCUAAGUCUAAGUAACUAAAGCUGAAACAUAUCUUGGGAAACUUAGCAAAAAGGAAAAGAUAAAAAAACGCAUAUGUAAAGACAUAAUCUUUAGAUGGAUUAAAUCAAGAAUUCAAGAAAUGAUCAAAAACAUUAACUAAACAUGGAUGAUUACUGUAAUUGAAUCUAUUAAUUUUAGAAAACAAAAAAGAAUCAGAAUACUAUAAAUUAACAAUGGAUUAGCUGAUUUACAAAAAACUUUUGACUCUUACAUGAGAAUCACUGUAUAUUUUUUUUGAUUUGGUAACCUUGGCCAAGAUCAUAGUAAUACUCAAAAUACCAUCCAUAGAAGAAAAUCAUCCUAUAUAAUAAUUACCUUCAAAUAAGUAGAAAAUUCGAAAAAGAACUUCUCAAGCAGCAGUCGCUAUAACCCCUGAUUAGCAAACGCUGUGUUCUUCAGAGAAACUCAACAGGAAAACUAAACAAAAUAGGAAAAGAAGAUCGUUCAACGGAGCAGACACAACAACUUAAGUUCGAAGUUCCCCGAGAAAAAGCUAAGGUAAUCCAAA